GCCCUGGCAGUCAGAGGCGAUGAAGGACGUGCUAAUCUGCGAUAAGCGUCGGUAAGGUGAUAUGAACCGUUAUAACCGGCGAUUUCCGAAUGGGGAAACCCAGUGUGAUUCGUCACACUAUCAUUAACUGAAUCCAUAGGUUAAUGAGGCGAACCGGGGGAACUGAAACAUCUAAGUACCCCGAGGAAAAGAAAUCAACCGAGAUUCCCCCAGUAGCGGCGAGCGAACGGGGAGGAGCCCAGAGCCUGAAUCAGUGUGUGUGUUAGUGGAAGCGUCUGGAAAGGCGCGCGAUACAGGGUGACAGCCCCGUACACAAAAAUGCACAUGCUGUGAGCUCGAUGAGUAGGGCGGGACACGUGGUAUCCUGUCUGAAUAUGGGGGGACCAUCCUCCAAGGCUAAAUACUCCUGACUGACCGAUAGUGAACCAGUACCGUGAGGGAAAGGCGAAAAGAACCCCGGCGAGGGGAGUGAAAAAGAACCUGAAACCGUGUACGUACAAGCAGUGGGAGCACAGAGCAAUCUGUGUGACUGCGUACCUUUUGUAUAAUGGGUCAGCGACUUAUAUUCUGUAGCAAGGUUAACCGAAUAGGGGAGCCGAAGGGAAACCGAGUCUUAACUGGGCGUUAAGUUGCAGGGUAUAGACCCGAAACCCGGUGAUCUAGCCAUGGGCAGGUUGAAGGUUGGGUAACACUAACUGGAGGACCGAACCGACUAAUGUUGAAAAAUUAGCGGAUGACUUGUGGCUGGGGGUGAAAGGCCAAUCAAACCGGGAGAUAGCUGGUUCUCCCCGAAAGCUAUUUAGGUAGCGCCUCGUGAAUUCAUCUCCGGGGGUAGAGCACUGUUUCGGCAAGGGGGUCAUCCCGACUUACCAACCCGAUGCAAACUGCGAAUACCGGAGAAUGUUAUCACGGGAGACACACGGCGGGUGCUAACGUCCGUCGUGAAGAGGGAAACAACCCAGACCGCCAGCUAAGGUCCCAAAGUCAUGGUUAAGUGGGAAACGAUGUGGGAAGGCCCAGACAGCCAGGAUGUUGGCUUAGAAGCAGCCAUCAUUUAAAGAAAGCGUAAUAGCUCACUGGUCGAGUCGGCCUGCGCGGAAGAUGUAACGGGGCUAAACCAUGCACCGAAGCUGCGGCAGCGACGCUUAUGCGUUGUUGGGUAGGGGAGCGUUCUGUAAGCCUGCGAAGGUGUGCUGUGAGGCAUGCUGGAGGUAUCAGAAGUGCGAAUGCUGACAUAAGUAACGAUAAAGCGGGUGAAAAGCCCGCUCGCCGGAAGACCAAGGGUUCCUGUCCAACGUUAAUCGGGGCAGGGUGAGUCGACCCCUAAGGCGAGGCCGAAAGGCGUAGUCGAUGGGAAACAGGUUAAUAUUCCUGUACUUGGUGUUACUGCGAAGGGGGGACGGAGAAGG
rnacentral:rRNA from 1 species